rnacentral:rRNA from 1 species
GACGAACGCUGGCGGCGUGCUUAACACAUGCAAGUCGAACGGUGAAGCGCCUUCCUUUUUGGUGGGUGUGGAUGAGUGGCGAACGGGUGAGUAACACGUGAGUAACCUGCCCCCUUCUUCUGGAUAACCGCAUGAAAGUGUGGCUAAUACGGGAUAUUCUGGGUCUGUCGCAUGAUGGGUCUGGGAAAGAUAUUGUUUCUGUGGGGGAUGGGCUCGCGGCCUAUCAGCUUGUUGGUGGGGUGAUGGCCUACCAAGGCGGUGACGGGUAGCCGGCCUGAGAGGGUGGACGGUCACACUGGGACUGAGACACGGCGCAGACUCCUACGGGAGGCAGCAGUGGGGAAUAUUGCACAAUGGGCGCAAGCCUGAUGCAGCGACGCCGCGUGAGGGAUGGAGGCCUUCGGGUUGUGAACCUCUUUCGCCAGUGAAGCAGGCCUGCCUCGUUUGUGGGUGGGUUGACGGUAGCUGGAUAAGAAGCGCCGGCUAACUACGUG